rnacentral:rRNA from 1 species
CCUACGGGAGGCAGCAGUGGGGAAUAUUGCACAAUGGGGGCAACCCUGACGCAGCAACGCCGCGUGAGUGAGGAAGUCUUUCGGUAUGUAAAGCUCUAUUAGCAGGGAAUAGAAAAGAAGGUACCUGAACAAGAAGCCCCGGCAAACUACGUGCCAGCAGCCGCGGUAAUACGUAGGGGGCAAGCGUUAUUCGGAUUUACUGGGUGUAAAGGGAGCAUAGACGGAGAGGCAAGUCAGAAGUGAAAACCCGAGGCUCAACCAUAGAACUGCAUUUGAAACUGUCGAACUAGAGUACUGGAGAGGCAGGAGGAAUUCCUAGUGUAGCGGUGAAAUGCGUAGAUAUUAGGAGGAACACCAGUGGCGAAGGCGGCUUGCUGGACCGAAACUGACGUUGAGGCUCGAAAGCGUGGGGAGCAAACAGGAUUAGAUACCCCUGUAGUC